CUUUGCCGUCUGCACAUGAGUGGCAACGUGCGAGGCACGACGGUUUAAUGUCGAUGGUGGCACGAGGAGGCCGAAUUGGACCGAGGGGGAGAGGGAGCUACUUGUUGAAGGAGCAGAUUUACCGAGGUCCUAAAUGCAUGGGGAUUCAGCUGCAGUUUUACUCCCAGAAGCAGUGACACCAACAGAAAGUGCCUUUUGUGACAAUGUGUUGCAGGGACAGGAGCAUGGAUGUCUUAAUAUCCCUGGUUGGGAUACUACAUACAGCGCCAAAAGUAACCGAGGCCUCAACAUGUACAAG